rnacentral:pre_miRNA from 2 species
CACAUAUAUACAUACAUAUACAUAUAUAUGAUACAUAUACACAUAUAAAUAUGUGUGAUACAUAUGUAUAUGGUACAUAUAUGUGUGAUACAUAUGUAUAUUGUACA